UCCGGUUGAUCCUGCCGGACCCCACUGCUAUCGGGAUAGGACUAAGACAUGCUAGUCGUGUGCCUCAGCCAAAACGAGGCACGGCGCACAGCUCAGUAACACGUGGCUAACCUGCCCUUAGGACGAGAAUAACCCCGGGAAACUGGGGCUAAUGCUCGAUAGGUGAAGAACUCUGGAAUGAGUCUUCACUUAAAAGAGUCUGCGUUAUGCUCGUAGAUUUCGCUUAAGGAUGGGGCCGCGACCGAUCAGGUUGUUGGUGAGGUAAUGGCUCACCAAGCCUUUUACCGGUGCGGGCCGUGAGAGCGGGAGCCCGGAGAUGGGCACUGAGACAAGGGCCCAGGCCCUACGGGGCGCAGCAGUCGCGAAAACUUUGCAAUACACGAAAGUGUGACAGGGCUAUCCCGAGUGCCAUCCGCUGAGGAAGGCUUUUACCCAGUCUAGAACGCUGGGGGAAUAAGGAGAGGGCAAGUCUGGUGUCAGCCGCCGCGGUAAUACCAGCUCUCCGAGUGGUGUGGAUGUUUAUUGGGCCUAAAGCAUCCGUAGCUGGCUAAGUUAGUCCCCUGUUAAAUCCAACGAAUUAAUCGUUGGAUCGCGGGGGAUACUGCUUGGCUAGGGGACGAGAGAGGCAGACGGUAUUUCCGGGGUAGGGGUGAAAUCCUAUAAUCCCGGGAAGACCACCAGUGGCGAAAGGCUGUCUGCUAGAACGCGCCCGACGGUGAGGGAUGAAAGCUGGGGGAGCGAACCCGGAUUAGAUACCCGGGUAGUCCCAGCUGUAAACGAUGCAGGCUAGGUGUUUUGGACGGGCCACGUGCCGUUCUAGUGCCGCAGGGAAGCUGUUAAGCCUGCCGCCUGGGGGGAGUACGAUCGCAAGAUUGAAAACUUAAAGGGAAUUGGCCGGGGGG
rnacentral:rRNA from 1 species